rnacentral:rRNA from 1 species
AGUCGAACGAUGAAGACCGUGCUUGCACGGUUGGAUUAGUGGCGAACGGGUGAGUAUCACGUGAGUAACCUUCCCUUAACUCUGGGAUAAGCCCGGGAAACUGGGUCUAAUACCGGAUACGACCAGUCCUCGCAUGGGGUGCUGGUGGAAAGAUUUAUCGGUUUUGGAUGGACUCGCGGCCUAUCAGCUUGUUGGUGAGGUAAAGGCUCACCAAGGCGAUGACGGGUAGCCGGCCUGAGAGGGUGACCGGCCACACUGGGACUGAGACACGGCCCAGACUCCUACGGGAGGCAGCAGUGGGGAAUAUUGCACAAUGGGCGAAAGCCUGAUGCAGCGACGCCGCGUGCGGGAUGACGGCCUUCGGGUUGUAAACCGCUUUCAGCAGGGAAGAAGCGAAAGUGACGGUACCUGCAGAAGAAGCGCCGGCUAACUACGUGCCAGCAGCCGCGGUAAUACGUAGGGCGCGAGCGUUAUCCGGAAUUAUUGGGCGUAAAGAGCUCGUAGGCGGUUUGUCACGUCUGCUGUGAAAGCCCGGGGCUCAACCCCGGGUGUGCAGUGGGUACGGGCAGACUAGAGUGCAGUAGGGGAGACUGGAAUUCCUGGUGUAGCGGUGAAAUGCGCAGAUAUCAGGAGGAACACCGAUGGCGAAGGCAGGUCUCUGGGCUGUUACUGACGCUGAGGAGCGAAAGCAUGGGGAGCGAACAGGAUUAGAUACCCUGGUAGUCCAUGCCGUAAACGUUGGGCACUAGGUGUGGGGAACAUUCCACGUUUUCCGCGCCGUAGCUAACGCAUUAAGUGCCCCGCCUGGGGAGUACGGCCGCAAGGCUAAAACUCAAAGGAAUUGACGGGGGCCCGCACAAGCGGCGGAGCAUGCGGAUUAAUUCGAUGCAACGCGAAGAACCUUACCAAGGCUUGACAUGGACCGGACCGCUGCAGAGAUGCAGUUUCCCUUCGGGGUCGGUUCACAGGUGGUGCAUGGUUGUCGUCAGCUCGUGUCGUGAGAUGUUGGGUUAAGUCCCGCAACGAGCGCAACCCCUAUCCUAUGUUGCCAGCACGUUAUGGUGGGGACUCAUGGGAGACUGCCGGGGUCAACUCGGAGGAAGGUGGGGACGACGUCAAAUCAUCAUGCCCCUUAUGUCUUGGGCUUCACGCAUGCUACAAUGGCCGGUACAAUGGGUUGCGAUACUGUGAGGUGGAGCUAAUCCCUAAAAGCCGGUCUCAGUUCGGAUCGAAGUCUGCAACUCGACUUCGUGAAGUUGGAGUCGCUAGUAAUCGCAGAUCAGCAACGCUGCGGUGAAUACGUUCCCGGGCCUUGUACACACCGCCCGUCAAGUCACGAAAGUGGGUAACACCCGAAGCCGGUGGCCUAACCCUUGUGGGGGGAGCCGU